GUGGCGUUUGCAGAGAAAAUGGUGGGCCUUAGUGACUGGACGGCGGGGUUGGUGCGAGUGGCGUCUCUCAAGGUGCGGAGGGACGUUUGAUAACUGGGUUCCUGAAUCCAGAAAAGCGAGUAUUGGGAUCUGUGUCCUGGGCGCUAGUCCAAGCACUCAGUGCCUUUCCUCUCUCCUGUCUGACGACAGUGAUUCGUGUGGCAGUGUUUGUGGCGAGGCGAGGGAAGAAGAGGAGCAAACUGCACAGGAUCUGCGGAGGUCUUCCCAUAGGGCAACAGUAGGGCUCUUUACCACUGAAAGCAAAGGAAAGUGGGAGACUGGCCUGGGACUGUGGAGCUGGGUCUACAGGCCUGAAAGCUUGAGAUCACUGGAAGCAAGGAAAUACGGAGGAAAUUAUUCCUGAUCAGUAUAUGCUGGUAAGAGGAUGGGGAUUGCCUGGGUAGACAUCUAAGGUGGGUUGUUGGAGG
rnacentral:lncRNA from 1 species